UUAGUGGCUUACACGAUUAAUAAAUACUUUAUUAUUAAAUAAACUUUUAGCGAAAACUUUUGUAGCCACAGCUGUAGGCGUGUAGAGCGUCUCUAUCUAUUGGAAAAAAUAAACUAAGUUUUACGAAUGUUUUUGUAUCUUACCACCAGUAAUCGCGUGGCGCUACCAUUAAAUUCCAUCAACAAUACAAUAAUAUUGAAAACAACAAUGACUGGAAAAUGACGUCAACGAGUACUACAGUGGUUGUAUUUAGUAUCAUGUAUGAGUAGAGUAAUUUGACUGCUUAAGGGAUAGUUUGGAGCGCCACACAGUAAAGCACUUGGUGCACAUUUACAUAAUUCCAGUACAAAUUCAACAAAUAAUUCAAAACAGUAUAAAUUGUUCAGUAUGCUAUUUAAUCCUAAUGUUUUUUUAAAACUUGUAAAUAUUUAAUUAAACUUAAUUUUAAGUUAUUAAUUACAUUUUUGGGGAUUGGUAUGAUGUAAAAAAAAUUUUUUUUUUUUAAUAAUGAAUUACGAAAGCAAAUAAUAGCAAUAGAAAAGGUUCAACAUUAACAAAAUCUGAAAAAUUAUAACAUAAACAAAGUCUUGUGUUUGAUUAUAAUUUAAACGGUUCAUUGGGACACUUGUUAGCGUCAACGGUAUCAUCAAUUCCAAGUAGUUCAUUUUACCCAAAUGAUACUGUUGAAUCAGUAGUAGGUUUAAUGGACCAAAAAUAGAGUCCAGCACAGCGGUCAAAAACAGUAAUUGAGCCGAAUAAUUACACAGAACAGCUGUGGGAUGAACUGAAGGAUCGGCCAGACUUUUGCCGAAAUAUAGUUAACUCAAUGAAUAAACGUAUGCAAGAAGUUAUAGAAAAAGACGGUUAUUGGACUAAAUAUUAAUUAAUAAUUUUAUUGUAUAUAUAUAUAUAUAUACAUAUAUAUAUAUAUAUGUAUAGAAGUAUACAUAAAUAUAUAGAUAAUACAUCAUACAUUAAUAAAUCUGCAGAUACAAAACAUUUUUUUUUUUGAAUUGUACAAUCGCCGACAAUAAUUCGCCCCGGGUUGUGUUGCCCCCGGCUUGAUGAACUUUUCUAUUUCAGUACAUCUCUUUCAAAACAACAGUAAUAAAAAUAUUUGUAUAAAAGAUACUUCUAGUAUAAAAUUAGUUUUUUAUUUGAUAAAUCCAUUCUAAAUUUAAUAUCUCUAGGAUAAUCUAUUUAUUAAAACAAGACACAAUUUAAAUUUCUGUUAAAUAAAUUAUCUGUAAAAUUAAACAAAUGUAUGAAAAUAAUGUGGAAAAAAUAAAUUUCAAUUUUUUUAUAUUUCGAUUUUAUUCAUUAAUGAAAAAGAGAAAAUCUCUAUUGAUUAACUAAUGAAUAAAAUGUUUGCUGUCAUGAAGUCAUCUGUAUGGUGAAAAUAUGAGUAAAAAUUAUUGUCUAUAUUAAAUUGUUCUAUUGUGAAAAAAAUUAUAUUAUGCAAAAAUAAUAUUAUCUG